AAGAAAAAUCUGAGACUCGUCAAAUCUUUCUCAACUCUCUCAAUUUUCUUUUAACACACAUACAAUUUUUUCUCAUCUUCAACAGGACCUGUCAUUCUCUGUCAUUUGUAGUUCACAUCGUCUCAUUUGUAGUUCACACCAUCUCUUUGAACUCAACAUUGGCGGGAAGAUCCACUGAAAUCUCAAGAAGUUAUGGAACCACACCAGUGUCCUCUAAUGAGGGUAAAAUUUUUUUAUAGAGAGUCACCACUUUAUUUCCACUCAUCUGGUGGCCAGUUUGACAACCAGUUCGUUCUCAUUCUAAAUUAUUCCAGGUCUGAGGAGUGAGUUUGUAAUUGAUGUUGUCUUGUCCUCUGUUCCUACGAGGGGAGUAUCCUGUUUUUCCAACAUCCAGUAUCUUAAAACUUAUGAGAGGAAAUCCAAUCUACAAAGAUUGACGAUACAGUGACGUAAAUUCAGAUGUAAAUUUAAACAGGAAAURCAAGGUAGAAAUUUUAUUUAUUUAUYAUUA